UGAGGAAUAUUGGUCAAUGGACGAGAGUCUGAACCAGCCAAGUAGCGUGCAGGAAGACGGCCCUAUGGGUUGUAAACUGCUUUUAUAAGGGAAUAAAGUGAGUCUCGUGAGACUUUUUGCAUGUACCUUAUGAAUAAGGACCGGCUAAUUCCGUGCCAGCAGCCGCGGUAAUACGGAAGGUCCGGGCGUUAUCCGGAUUUAUUGGGUUUAAAGGGAGCGUAGGCCGGAGAUUAAGCGUGUUGUGAAAUGUAGAUGCUCAACAUCUGAACUGCAGCGCGAACUGGUUUCCUUGAGUACGCACAAAGUGGGCGGAAUUCGUGGUGUAGCGGUGAAAUGCUUAGAUAUCACGAAGAACUCCGAUUGCGAAGGCAGCUCACUGGAGCGCAACUGACGCUGAAGCUCGAAAGUGCGGGUAUCGAACAGG
rnacentral:rRNA from 1 species